UUGCUACUCCCUCCGUUCGGAAUUACUUGUCUCGGAAAUGGAUGUAUCUAGAACUAAAAUACGUCUAGAUACAUCCAUUUCUACGACAAGUAAUUCCGAACGGAGGGAGUACAUG
rnacentral:pre_miRNA from 1 species